CCUACGGGUGGCUGCAGUGGGGAAUAUUGGACAAUGGGCGAAAGCCUGAUCCAGCCAUGCCGCGUGUGUGAAGAAGGCCUUCGGGUUGUAAAGCACUUUCAGUGGGGAAGAAAGCCUUGGGGCUAAUACCCUCGAGGAAGGACAUCACCCACAGAAGAAGCACCGGCUAACUCCGUGCCAGCAGCCGCGGUAAUACGGAGGGUGCGAGCGUUAAUCGGAAUUACUGGGCGUAAAGCGCGCGUAGGCGGUCUGAUAAGCCGGUUGUGAAAGCCCCGGGCUCAACCUGGGAACGGCAUCCGGAACUGUCAGGCUAGAGUGCAGGAGAGGAAGGUAGAAUUCCCGGUGUAGCGGUGAAAUGCGUAGAGAUCGGGAGGAAUACCAGUGGCGAAGGCGGCCUUCUGGACUGACACUGACGCUGAGGUGCGAAAGCGUGGGUAGCAAACAGGAUAGAUACCCCGGUAGUC
rnacentral:rRNA from 1 species